rnacentral:lncRNA from 1 species
UUAUAUCCUAUACCAGAAUUUCAUCUGGGAACCUUUGUAACCUUAUAUCAUACUCGUUGAGAAUCUAUUCUUGGAAAGCAACCAGAUUCAUCAGUACCUCCGACUUUUGAACCUUUAUAUUGAAAAAAAACAAAUAUACAUGUCUUGCAUUGCAUUCAUUCACAUUUCAUUGCAUCUGCAUCUCAUUAAAAUGCAUGUCAUUUUCCAUACAAAAUACCAAAAAAAA